CAGAAAGCUUGGCCCCAAGUUGCAGUACCAGCCUUGGAUCAGGAUCAAUCUCAAGAUUGGAAUUCCUAGAGGCCAAGAUCGAAUGGCAAGAUAAAAGAUCUUGAAGGAGAGCGCAAUUUCUUACGUGAGCAAGUCUUGGGGUUGAAGAAGAAAUCAACUCAAUCAAAAGUCCCUACUUUGGAAGAGGAUGUCAGCAUGUCCGAAGAUGACACUUCCCAAAGUCCUGCAGACCUCAGUGAUUCCUCAGACAGUGAUGUUGUCAUCCCAAAAAAGAAGCAACGUAACACACGGAAUCCUGCAUCUCCAGAUGUGGCUGUGCCUGGGCGAGCUCAUA